UACGUAGGGGGCAAGCGUUGUCCGGAAUCAUUGGGCGUAAAGCGCGUGUAGGCGGCCAGAAAAGUCCGCUGUGAAAACUCGAGGCUCAACUUCGAGCUGUCGGUGGAAACUUUCUGGCUAGAGUCCGGAAGAGGAGAAUGGAAUUCCUGGUGUAGCGGUGAAAUGCGCAGAUAUCAGGAGGAACACCAAUGGCGAAGGCAGAUCUCUGGGCCGUAACUGACGCUGAGGAGCGAAAGCAUGGGGAGCGAACAGG
rnacentral:rRNA from 1 species